rnacentral:rRNA from 1 species
GAUGAACGCUGGCGGCGUGCCUAAUACAUGCAAGUCGAGCGAACGGACGAGAAGCUUGCUUCUCUGAUGUUAGCGGCGGACGGGUGAGUAACACGUGGAUAACCUACCUAUAAGACUGGGAUAACUUCGGGAAACCGUAGCUAAUACCGGAUAAUAUUUUGAACUGCAUGGUUCAAAAGUGAAAGACGGUCUUGCUGUCACUUAUAGAUGGAUCCGCGCUGCAUUAGCUAGUUGGUAAGGUAACGGCUUACCAAGGCAACGAUGCAUAGCCGACCUGAGAGGGUGAUCGGCCACACUGGAACUGAGACACGGUCCAGACUCCUACGGGAGGCAGCAGUAGGGAAUCUUCCGCAAUGGGCGAAAGCCUGACGUAGCAACGCCGCGUGAGUGAUGAAGGUCUUCGGAUCGUAAAGCUCUGUUAUUAGGGAAGAACAUAUGUGUAAGUAACUGUGCACAUCUUGACGGUACCUAAUCAGAAAGCCACGGCUAACUACGUG